rnacentral:rRNA from 1 species
AGCGAACGCUGGCGGCAGGCUUAACACAUGCAAGUCGAGCGCCCCGCAAGGGGAGCGGCAGACGGGAGAGUAACACGUGGGAACAUACCUUUUGGUUCGGAACAACUGAGGGAAACUUCAGCUAAUACCGGAUAAGCCCUUACGGGGAAAGAUUUAUCGCCGAAAGAUUGGCCCGCGUCUGAUUAGCUAGUUGGUGAGGUAACGGCUCACCAAGGCGACGAUCAGUGGCUGGUCUGAGAGGAUGAUCAGCCUCACUGGGACUGAGACACGGCCCAGACUCCUACGGGAGGCAGCAGUGGGGAAUAUUGGACAAUGGGGGCAACCCUGAUCCAGCCAUGCCGCGUGAGUGAUGAAGGCCUUAGGGUUGUAAAGCUCUUUUGCCCGGGAAGAUAAUGACGGUACCGGGAGAAUAAGCCCCGGCUAACUUCGUG